AUUGAACGCUGGCGGCAGGCCUAACACAUGCAAGUCGAACGGUAACAGGAAGAAGCUUGCUUCUUUGCUGACGAGUGGCGGACGGGUGAGUAGUGUCUGGGAAACUGCCUGAUGGAGGGGGAUAACUACUGGAAACGGUAGCUAAUACCGCAUAACGUCGCAAGACCAAAGAGGGGGACCUUCGGGCCUCUUGCCAUCGGAUGUGCCCAGAUGGGAUUAGCUAGUAGGUGGGGUAACGGCUCACCUAGGCGACGAUCCCUAGCUGGUCUGAGAGGAUGACCAGCCACACUGGAACUGAGACACGGUCCAGACUCCUACGGGAGGCAGCAGUGGGGAAUAUUGCACAAUGGGCGCGAGCCUGAUGCAGCCAUGCCGCGUGUAUGAAGAAGGCCUUCGGGUUGUAAAGUACUUUCAGCGGGGAGGAAGGGAGUAAAGUUAAUACCUUUGCUCAUUGACGUUACCCGCAGAAGAAGCACCGGCUAACUCCGUG
rnacentral:rRNA from 1 species